rnacentral:rRNA from 1 species
AACGAACGCUGGCGGCAGGCCUAACACAUGCAAGUCGAACGCCCGUAGCAAUACGGGAGUGGCAGACGGGUGAGUAACGCGUGGGAAUCUACCCAGUUCUUCGGAAUAACUGAGGGAAACUUCAGCUAAUACCGGAUACGCCCCAAGGGGGAAAGAUUUAUCGGAAUUGGAGGAGCCCGCGUUGGAUUAGCUAGUUGGCGGGGUAAUGGCCUACCAAGGCGACGAUCCAUAGCUGGUCUGAGCGGAUGAUCAGCCACACUGGGACUGAGACACGGCCCAGACUCCUACGGGAGGCAGCAGUGGGGAAUAUUGGAGAAUGGGCGAAAGCCUGAUCCAGCCAGGCCGCGUGAGUGAUGAAGGCCCUAGGGUUGUAAAGCUCUUUCACAGGUGAAGAUAAUGACGGUAACCGGAGAAGAAGCCCCGGAUAACUUCGUGCCAGCAGCCGCCGUAACAC